rnacentral:rRNA from 1 species
UACAGAGGGUGCAAGCGUUAAUCGGAAUUACUGGGCGUAAAGCGUGCGUAGACGGUUAUUUAAGUCAGGUGUGAAAUCCCCGGGCUCAACCUGGGAAUGGCGGUGGAUACUGGAUAGCUAGAGUGUGUCAGAGGAUGGUGGAAUUCCCGGUGUAGCGGUGAAAUGCGUAGAGAUCGGGAGGAACACCUGUGGCGAAGGCGGCCGACUGGGCCGACCCUGACGCUGAGGCGCGAAGGCGUGGGGAGCAAACAGG